AGAGUUUGAUCCUGGCUCAGGACGAACGCUGGCGGCGUGCUUAACACAUGCAAGUCGAGCGAUGAGAUCCCUUCGGGGAUGGAUUAGCGGCGAACGGGUGAGGAACACGUGAAGAAUCUGCCUUCAACUCUGGGAUAACACCGGGAAACCGGUGCUAAUACCGGAUAUGAGCCUUGAUCGCAUGAUCGGGGCUGGAAAGUUUUUCGGUUGAAGAUGACUUCGCGGCCUAUCAGCUUGUUGGUGAGGUAAUGGCUCACCAAGGCGACGACGGGUAGCCGGCCUGAGAGGGCGACCGGCCACACUGGGACUGAGACACGGCCCAGACUCCUACGGGAGGCAGCAGUGGGGAAUAUUGGGCAAUGGGCGAAAGUCUGACCCAGCGACGCCGCGUGAGGGAUGAAGGCCUUCGGGUUGUAAACCUCUUUCAGCAGGGAAGAAGCGAAAGUGACGGUACCUGCAGAAGAAGCACCGGCUAACUAUGUGCCAGCAGCCGCGGUAAUACAUAGGGUGCAAGCGUUGUCCGGAAUUAUUGGGCGUAAAGAGCUCGUAGGUGGUUAGUUACGUCGGAUGUGAAAAUCUAGGGCUCAACCCUAGACCUGCAUCCGAUACGGGCUAGCUUGAGUUUGGUAGGGGAGACUGGAAUUCCUGGUGUAGCGGUGGAAUGCGCAGAUAUCAGGAGGAACACCAAUGGCGAAGGCAGGUCUCUGGGCCAAUACUGACACUGAGGAGCGAAAGUGUGGGG
rnacentral:rRNA from 1 species